GUUCUGUAACUGGCUCUAUUAUGAAAUUACCGGUCAGCGAUGCUACUGCUUUGGGUACUUUCAGGACCCGUCUUGAAACACGGACCAAGGAGUCUAACAUGUGCGCGAGUCAUUGGGAUUAUUUUAUUAAAUUAAACCUAAAGGCGCNAUGAAAGUAAAGAUCGUUUUUGCGACGAUUAAAGGAGGAUGAGCCGUAUUACGAUACGGUUCCGCACUCCUGGGGCGUCUUAUUCUCAUUAUGAGAA
rnacentral:rRNA from 1 species